UACAGAGGUCCCAAGCGUUGUUCGGAUUCACUGGGCGUAAAGGGUGCGUAGGCGGUCGGGUAAGUCUGAUGUGAAAUCUCAGAGCUCAACUCUGAAACUGCAUUGGAUACUAUUCGGCUUGAGGUCUGGAGGGGGGACUGGAAUUCCUGGUGUAGCGGUGAAAUGCGCAGAUAUCAGGAGGAACACCGAUGGCGAAGGCAGGUCUCUGGGCAUUAACUGACGCUGAGGAGCGAAAGCAUGGGGAGCGAACAGG
rnacentral:rRNA from 1 species